rnacentral:rRNA from 1 species
GUGAGUAACACGUAGGCAACCUGCCCACAAGACAGGGAUAACUACCGGAAACGGUAGCUAAUACCCGAUACAUCCUUUUCCUGCAUGGGCGAAGGAGGAAAGACGGAGCAAUCUGUCACUUGUGGAUGGGCCUGCGGCGCAUUAGCUAGUUGGUGGGGUAAAGGCCUACCAAGGCGACGAUGCGUAGCCGACCUGAGAGGGUGAUCGGCCACACUGGGACUGAGACACGGCCCAGACUCCUACGGGAGGCAGCAGUAGGGAAUCUUCCGCAAUGGGCGAAAGCCUGACGGAGCAACGCCGCGUGAGUGAUGAAGGUUUUCGGAUCGUAAAGCUCUGUUGCCAGGGAAGAACGUCUUGUAGAGUAACUGCUACAAGAGUGACGGUACCUGAGAAGAAAGCCCCGGCU